GCAAAACGACAGACAAAACGCUUUACAAGACGGAAGGAGACCAGAUGAGUCGAUGCACACAGAUACAAGGACCUUGAUUCUUCUAGCAAUGAUUUAAGUCUCUUUCCAUCCAUUAGUUUUCCUUUGUCUCAGGAGUCCUUAGCUGCAUUACAGGAACUGAAAAUAACGAUGCUCAGACCCAUGCAACCCCUGACCUGGGCUGGCAUUUCCACACCCUGCUGCUGUGUUUGACCUGGUUAUUCAGAUUACUUAAGCAAAGGAAAAUUGUGUGUGUGUGUGUGUGUGUGUGUGUUAACACAGCAAAAACUGUCUAUGUAUUUGUUUUAAAAAUGGCUUAGUCAGAAUGCCAUUUUUAAACCAGAAAGCCAUCUUCUAAAGAAUUUUUUUGAGAUAGUUUUUAUUCCAUUUUAAGAAUUAAAAUGAAAAAAAAAAUCCUGCUUGCAUGAAGACAGCUUUAAGACAGUGGUUAAAUAGGGUGGUUAGGGGAUCUGUUCCACCAAGAAUGUCCUUCCACUGAGGCCUGAAGCCAACGAGUCAGCUGCAGCUCUCCAGCUACGGAGUGCCUGGCCGAUUCUUCUCAGAAUGAAGGCAUCAUUGUCCUAGAUACUAGCCCUGUAGGAUCUACAUCCUUUGGACCAUUCUCAAAUAUUUAACAAACUAUUCUUCAGGAAUACAGCCAGAGAGAAACGUCCACAAGUUCUUCUGUUAAUGGACAAGUGGUGACCAGGCAGUUCCUUUAUACUACCUGAAUUUCAGAGUCCUGUAAGCUAGCACUUGGAUAAAUAUCUAGUUAUGUGCUAUGGAGCCAAACAAAAUGGACUUUCUUCAAAAUGAGAAACCUUCAGCUGGAGAGAGAGACAUCUUCCCACGUACCAUGAUACUGCAAAUCUCUGUCUCUUGACCCACUGUUCAUAUCACAGCCUUUAAAGAAAUCUAACUCUCACAUGUGCAUCCAUACAAGACUAUGAAAAUAUCAUACGGGAGGCCAAAUUUGAAGUCACCUUUAAGACAUAGAGCACCCUUCUCUGCAGAACUCUACAUAUGAACCUUUGGGAUUAUAAACCCUGAAAGCAAAACUUAAAAGCCAACAUGUUUUUCUAAUCCAUCUAAUACAGUUCUACUGUUUCAGAGCACAUGAAGUCCAAGGACAUCAAAUGCAAUGUCAGAUUUUAACUCCGUUUUUUUUUUUUUUUUUUUUUUUUUUUUUUUUUUUUUUUUGGUCUGGCGUAUUUGUUGUUUUAGCUGUAGUAUAAGGUUGGAAGCAUCAGUACACAUACAUAACAGCCCUUGAAGCAUUAUAACCAACCAGUUCCUUCAUCCUUGGCUUUGCAUUUUCAAGUUUAUGCGUGGUAGUCGAAAGAACUUUCCUAAAGGCAGGUACAUUUUAUUGUCAGUUAGGGUUUGAGGACCCUAACAAGUGCGUGGCACAGAUUACUAGCCAACAUAAGCAAAAAAUGACAUGUUGUGACUUUUAACUGAAAUUGUUUGUUUGUCUUAUUAGGCAAAGUGACAGAAUGAAAAUGUAAAACCAGUCAACGCAAUGCCUUCAAAAACUUCAAAUAAAAGGAACGAAAUCAGGAUUUGUCUUAAAUAAUUAAUCAUUAGAGGGGGUAUAAUAAAAAGAUGGGUAUGUAGGAGGUCUGUGCCUUUGCUUAGCACUGGGGCUGGGCCUUUUGGACAGAGGGCUGUCUGUGACAAGGAGCUGUACUCUGACAGUCCAACUGUGGCCUUCCUGCUUC